UGGGCACAAGUAUAAAUGGUGGUUCCACUGUUACCUCCCAAACACCAGGGACACCAGAAUCAGAGAAGAUCAUGUGGGUGAUCGCAGCAGCUGUGACGGGGGGUGUCCUCCUGCUGGGAUUGGCCCUUCUCUUUGCUCAGAGCAGAAUUGAUAAAUGUGAUUCCAAAAGAACAAAAGCAAACAUCGCAGGUAAAUCCAAAGAUGAUCAGAAAUAUAUGGGUGGUUAUGAUGAAACGUACAGUAUCGUCUUCUAUGAAUGCAACAUUGAGUGAAAACUGCAGCACCUCAGAGAUGAAGGCUACAUCAGCUCAGAGAGAUACAGAGUGUUCAAAGCUCUCUGACAUUAGCUCAGAGGAAAAUGUUGUUUCCUGUAUCAUUAUC